rnacentral:rRNA from 1 species
GACGAACGCUGGCGGCGUGCUUAACACAUGCAAGUCGAACGCUGAAGCUCAGCUUUUGUUGGGUGGAUGAGUGGCGAACGGGUGAGUAACACGUGAGUAACCUGCCUCCUUCUUUGGGAUAACGCCCGGAAACGGGUGCUAAUACUGGAUAUUCACUGGUCUUCGCAUGGGGGUUGGUGGAAAGGGUUUUUCUGGUGGGGGAUGGGCUCGCGGCCUAUCAGCUUGUUGGUGGGGUGAUGGCCUACCAAGGCUUUGACGGGUAGCCGGCCUGAGCGGGUGACCGGUCACAUUGGGACUGAGAUACGGCCCAGACUCCUACGGGAGGCAGCAGUGGGGAAUAUUGCACAAUGGGCGCAAGCCUGAUGCAGCGACGCCGCGUGAGGGAUGGAGGCCUUCGGGUUGUGAACCUCUUUCGCUCAUGGUCAAGCCGCAACAAUGGUUGUGGUGAGGGUAGUGGGUAAAGAAGCGCCGGCUAACUACGUG